rnacentral:tRNA from 3 species
GCCGGCGUAGCUCAGCGGCAGAGCACUUUGACCGUCGCCGAUUUGAUCUCUGGGCGCACAACUUCAUCGCACCUCCCGGUGCGCAGGUAACGGUUACUUCUCCUGCUAAGAGAGAGACGCGGGUUCGAAUCCCGUCGCCGAUG